CCUACGGGAGGCUGCAGUGAGGAAUAUUGGUCAAUGGACGAGAGUCUGAACCAGCCAAGUAGCGUGAAGGAUGACUGCCCUAUGGGUUGUAAACUUCUUUUAUAUGGGAAUAAAACGUUUCACGUGUGGCUUUUUGCAUGUACCACAUGAAUAAGGACCGGCUAAUUCCGUGCCAGCAGCCGCGGUAAUACGGAGGAUCCGAGCGUUAUCCGGAUUUAUUGGGUUUAAAGGGAGCGCAGGUGGAUUGUUAAGUCAGUUGUGAAAGUUUGGGGCUCAACCGUAAAAUUGCAGUUGAAACUGGCAGUCUUGAGUACAGUAGAGGUAGGCGGAAUGCGUGGUGUAGCGGUGAAAUGCUUAGAUAUCGCGAAGAACUCCGAUUGCGAAGGCAGCUUGCUAGACUGCCACUGACAUUGAUGCUCGAAAGUGUGGGUAUCGAACAGGAUUAGAUACCCGGGUAGUC
rnacentral:rRNA from 1 species